UGAUUUCUUUUCCUCUGUCGAGAUCCAAGUCUGUUUUCCUUUCCCGACCGAUCCCUCCCCUUGCUUGGUGCUUAGUGCCCCUACGCGCUGAAUUACGUAGACCCAGCCUCUCUCUCUUUCUCUCGUUCGCAUAGACUUCGUUUCACACCAGUCCCAAUUCCUGGAAUUCCAGCCUUCCUUGCUGGGGACCAGCAAGUACGGUAUUCCUUCCAAAAUCGACCCCGAAAAUCCACCGGUGCUGCAUUUCCCUCCCUUGCCAAUGAUACUCAACUCCAUUCUUUAAAACUUCCAACAGCCAGCUGUGACAUCUUACAAGAUAUGGAAACUGAAAAGAAAGACAAUACCUCAUGACAAAAUAAAGGCAUCAUCUGGCUUUUUUUUUUUUUUUUAAAUCGCUAAAGUAUAAUUAAACGGUUCUUCAGAAGCGGCACCACGUCGGCAGACUGGGUCCCAGCGAACUCCCCUGCGGGGAGCAGCGAGGCACUGAGCGAGCCGCUCGACAAGCCCCUAGA